CACGUAGGGUGCGAGCGUUGUCCGGAAUUAUUGGGCGUAAAGAGCUCGUAGGCGGUGUGUCGCGUCGGCCGUGAAAACCUGCAGCUUAACUGUGGGCUUGCGGUCGAUACGGGCAUCACUGGAGUUCGGCAGGGGAGACUGGAAUCCUGGUGUAGCGGUGAAAUGCGCAGAUAUCAGGAGGAACACCGGUGGCGAAGGCGGGAUCUCUGGGCCAUUACUGACGCUGAGGAGCGAAAGCGUGGGGAGCGAACAGG
rnacentral:rRNA from 1 species